rnacentral:snRNA from 1 species
GCGCUUGAUUUGGCAGCGCCUACGCUAACAUUGGAACCACACGUGGACGACAGCAUGGCCCCCAUGGGUGACGUGCAGAUUUGUGAAGCAGUUUACAUUUUG